CCUACGGGAGGCAGCAGUGGGGAAUAUUGGACAAUGGGCGCAAGCUGAUCCAGCCAUACCGCGUGGGUGAAGAAGGCCUUCGGGUUGUAAAGCCCUUUUGUUGGGAAAGAAAUCCAGCUGGCUAAUACCCGGUUGGGAUGACGGUACCCAAAGAAUAAGCACCGGCUAACUUCGUGCCAGCAGCCGCGGUAAUACGAAGGGUGCAAGCGUUACUCGGAAUUACUGGGCGUAAAGCGUGCGUAGGUGGUCGUUUAAGUCCGUUGUGAAAGCCCUGGGCUCAACCUGGGAACUGCAGUGGAUACUGGGCGACUAGAAUGUGGUAGAGGGUAGCGGAAUUCCUGGUGUAGCAGUGAAAUGCGUAGAGAUCAGGAGGAACAUCCAUGGCGAAGGCAGCUACCUGGACCAACAUUGACACUGAGGCACGAAAGCGUGGGGAGCAAACAGGAUUAGAUACCCUGGUAGUCCACGCCCUAAACGAUGCGAACUGGAUGUUGGGUGCAAUUUGGCACGCAGUAUCGAAGCUAACGCGUUAAGUUCGCCGCCUGGGGAGUACGGUCGCAAGACUGAAACUCAAAUGAAUUGACGGGG
rnacentral:rRNA from 1 species